AAUGAACGCUGGCGGCGUGCCUAACACAUGCAAGUCGGAUGUGCCCGCAAGGGUGCAUGGCAGACGGGUGAGUAACGCGUGGGGAAUCUACCUUUUAGUGGGGAAUAACGCUCCGAAAGGAGUGGUAAUACCGCAUGUGACCAUCGGCUGGGAUGCUGAUGGUGAAACCCUGGGACCUUCGGGCCAGGGGCUAGAAGAGGAUCCUGCGUCUGAUUAGCUAGUUGGCGGGGUAACGGCCCACCAAGGCGACGAUCAGUAGCCGGCCUGAGAGGGUGUCCGGCCACACUGGGACUGAGAUACGGCCCAGACUCCUACGGGAGGCAGCAGUGGGGAAUAUUGCACAAUGGGCGCAAGCCUGAUGCAGCGACGCCGCGUGGGGGAGUGACGGCCUCGGUUGUAACGUACUUCUAGCAGGACGGAAGGGUAGGACGUAGACGGUACCGUACGU
rnacentral:rRNA from 1 species